AUACUACUACCUGGCAGAGGAGAUACCAUGAUCACAAAGGUGGCUUUCCCUGGGAGAGGCUUAUUCAUUGCACUCCGGAUGUGCUGACUCCUGCAAUUUCCCCAAAUGUGGGAAACUCGACUGCAUAAUUUGUGGUAUUGAGGGAAUGUGUUCAUGCUCUCCCCUG
rnacentral:snRNA from 1 species